GACAGAGGUGCCGAGCGUUAGGCGGAAUCACUGGGCUUAAAGCGUGUGUAGGCGGGGCGUUAAGUGGCUUGUGAAAUCCCCCGGCUCAACCGGGGAAUGGCUGGGCAUACUGGCGAUCUUGAGCAGUCUAGGGGCAGAUGGAACAAGUGGUGGAGCGGUGAAAUGCGUAGAUAUCACUUGGAACGCCAAAGGUGAAAACAGUCUGCUGGGGACUUGCUGACGCUGAGACACGAAAGCCAGGGGAGCGAACGGG
rnacentral:rRNA from 1 species